GACGAACGCUGGCGGCGUGCUUAACACAUGCAAGUCGAACGGAAAGGCCUUUUCGGAGGUACUCGAGUGGCGAACGGGUGAGUAACACGUGGGUGAUCUGCCCUGCACUCUGGGAUAAGCCUGGGAAACUGGGUCUAAUACCGGAUAGGACCGCACUUUAGUGUGUGUGGUGGAAAGUUUUUUCGGUGUAGGAUGAGCCCGCGGCCUAACAGCUUGUUGGUGGGGUAAUGGCCUACCAAGGCGGCGACGGGUAGCCGGACUGAGAGGUUGGUCGGCCACAUUGGGACUGAGAUACGGCCCAGACUCCUACGGGAGGCAGCAGUGGGGAAUAUUGCACAAUGGGCGCAAGCCUGAUGCAGCGACGCCGCGUGGGGGAUGACGGCCUUCGGGUUGUAAACUCCUUUCGCCAGGGACGAAGCGUUUUGUGACGGUACCUGGAGAAGAAGCACCGGCUAACUACGUG
rnacentral:rRNA from 1 species